rnacentral:tRNA from 1 species
GCACCCGUAGCUCAGUUGGAUAGAGCGCUGCCCUCCGAAGGCAGAGGUCGCACGUUCGAAUCGUGCCGGGUGCGCCA